rnacentral:rRNA from 1 species
AGUGAACGCUGGCGGCAUGCUUAACACAUGCAGGUCGCGCGCCUCGCAAGGGGAGCGGCGGACGGGUGAGUAACGCGUAGGAAUGUGUCCAGAGGUGGGGGACAACCCCGGGAAACUGGGGCUAAUACCGCAUAUGUCCUGAGGGACAAAGCAGUAAUGCGCCUUUGGAGCAGCCUGCGUCCGAUUAGGUAGUUGGUGGGGUAAUGGCCUACCAAGCCUGCGAUCGGUAGCUGGUCUGAGAGGAUGAUCAGCCACACUGGGACUGAGACACGGCCCAGACUCCUACGGGAGGCAGCAGUGGGGAAUAUUGGACAAUGGGCGCAAGCCUGAUCCAGCAAUGCCGCGUGGGUGAAGAAGGUCUUCGGAUCGUAAAGCCCUUUCGACAGGGACGAUGAUGACGGUACCUGUAGAAGAAGCCCCGGCUAACUUCGUGCCAGCCGCCGCGGUAACAC